AACCCGGGCCGCACGCAUGCCAGGCGAGCACGCUACCGCUUGAGCCACAACCCCAGCCCCCAAGAAUUAACUGUUUUGUUGUUGUUAUAAAAGUAAUAAAUGACCAUUAUAUAAAACCUGGAAAAAUCAGAAGCAGAAAGGAGAAAACAAUCAUUAGGCAGAAAGCAGUGAACACUGGUGUGAUCUUUCUACCUCUUUCUUUGAAUAUUGCACAGUUGUAAUCACAUUUCAAAAAUAAAUUUCAGCACCCCCCUCCUCAAUGUUAUUAUGUAACUUUUUCUGUAGUACUGAGGAUUGAGUAUAGGGGCAUUCUACCACCGAGCUACAUACCUAGCCCUUUAUUAUUAUUAUUAUUUUUAGUUUUGAGGCAUUAUUUUGCUACUUCCUAAGUAGCCUCAGUUGGCCUUGAACUUGUGAUCCUCCUUCCUCAGCUUCCUGAGUCACUGGUAUUACAAGUAAGUGCUGCCAUAACUAGCUCAUCAGACUUUCUUUAUGUCAUCAUAUGAUAAAUAUAAUGUAUCAAUUAUUGUUAAUAAGGUUUCUACACUAACCCACAGAAACCCUUAUAAAUACAACAGGCAGAAGGACAGCUACUGGGAGAGAUGGCAUGAAGGACCAAUGGAAAGAGAGGGUUAUUAAGAAUCCUCUGGAGGGAACUGGAGUGAGGAACUCAAAGGAGAAGUAGGGAAGACGGAGGAAAAAGGGAAACAGAGGCAGUAGUAGGGCAGGGGAUGGAAGGAAAGCAACAUGUGAGGGUCAAGAGAGUAGUAAGGGAAAGGGUGGGGUGAGGACUGUGGCCAGGCUGUUAAGGAACCAGGUCAGUAAUGGCAAAGAUGUGAAGGAAGCAAACAGUAUGCAAAUUGGAAAAAGCCAAUGGAAAAAUUAGUUGAUUAGAAGUUUACUACUGGGCAGCCAAUCUCAGCAGAGAAGUGUAAACUAAAGAUUGAAUGCAAUUAAAGGGGGUGAGAACAGAAUGUAAACCCCUCACAUGGAGAGAGGCUGCUUCUUCAAGUAGCUUAGCAAGGUGAGUCUGGAGGCACAGUUAACUGUGUAACCUGAGUCUGAUUUCAACAUAUGCACUAUGGAGCUAUCAUUAAAAUAACAGCGAAGACUACUGAGUUACUUUUCCAUGCCAGGCACAUUGUUUAGGCAUGUUGCUGCUUUAGCUCAAUAAAGCAUCAUGGCUACCCUACAAAGUAGGUGCUAUUAUUAUUAUUAUAAGCUUAAAAUUGAAGAAACUGAGGUUGAAAUAUUAGUUUACUAAGAUGAUAAGCCCAGGAAUGGAGAAGCUGGGUUUGAGCUAACACCUAGAAAGCGUAUUCUUAGAUCAUAAAAAACUGACUUGUUUUUUUGGUACAGCAAAGAGCCCCAAAGGGGCAAUUCAAAGGGAAAUGCUCAUUUUUUUUGGAGGAAAAUACUAAUUCUUUUUCUCUUUUUUAGUCCUUGAGAUGGAAUGCAGAGAAUCAUGCAGUCAUGCUUGAAAGUGCUCUACCACUGAAUUACAUACUAGUUCUUUUUUAUUUUGAGACGAGGUCUCACAAAGUUGCCUAGGGUAGCCUUGGACUUGUGAUCUUCCUGCCUGAGCCUCCCAAGUAGCUAGGAUUCCAGGGAACUGAGUAUCCUGAGGGAAUGGCCAGAUGUAAGAGGACAACUGAAAUUUGGAGGAGAGGAAAAAAAGAGUGUGCUUGGUUGUUCGACUUCCAAAGAAACAAGGAUGGAACUGCUGUUGUCCUUCAUUCUUGCUGGAAGCCACCUGACCACUGCCAGGAAGAGGAAUGCAAAACAUUCCCAGGAGCGGCCCUGACGUCAGGGCCACAUUCCACCUCUCCACAGUCAGGGCUGUCGGGAAGCUCUGGCCUCCAGCAAAACCCCUAGAAGAGAUAGCAGCUGGGGCCUGCACUAAAUCAUACUAAGAACUCCUUCAUAUUGUACUUUAAAAAUGGACAGUAUCUUGUGAAUGCAGUGGGAAAGUGGUGGGUGAAGGGAUAGAGGGAAGACAAGAGAGAAAGCCAGAGAGGGAGAAAGAAUAGGAACAAAAAGAGCUGGCUUUCUAAGGGACAUUACUGUUAGUCUUCACAACUAUUUUUUGUUUGUUUAUUUUUGUGAGGGGAAAAAAGGGAAAAAUAAGUAAGUAGCCAUCUUCAGAUGUCCAUUUAUCUUAGGCAUCAGAGUGUAGACUGAUUGAGAAGAACAACAGAAGAGUUUGGGCUUCAAUCACCAGGCCUUCCUCUAGUAAACCACCUAGAAGCCCUGUCUCCAAACCCUUUAGAAACACUAAGAAAGCAGUUGGUUCAUUUUUAAUAAUGAGACAUACUGAACAUAAGAAAACUGCACAUAUGGUUGGCAUAUAACAUUUUGUCAAGAUUGUGAUUUAUACUUCUUAGAUUAAUAAUGAAACUAUUAAAAAUCUUGUUUAACUAUAUCACAAGGUUAUAAGAUAUUAAAGUACUCAGAUGUUAUUUGACUUCUCUGUUUGGUGAGUGUUGUAACAUGUUACUAGGUAAAGAUAUCAAGAAUAUAUAACUGGAAAUUCAUCACAGUUGUCAAAAUAUGCACCUGUAAAUGGCAUUCUCCUAGGCCCUAAAACAAGGUAACCGAGUUUCUACCUUCUGCGUAGAACAAAUAUCAAAAGACCUAGAUGCCAAAUCAUCUAGGUCUUUUGACUUAGGGAUAUUAUAAUGUCUCCUGCAUACCCACCUCCUAGCUGUACGCUGGGUGGUGGUCACAGACAGGAAGGUCAGCAUUGCAGAUGCUGCCUCAGGGCUUCCUGACUUUCAUGAGGGUCAGGAACAGUUGAGGCUACAGAGUAAGUAUCUGGAGGCAAAUAAUGCAUGAUGAACAUAAUAAGCAAGAGGACCAAAGUAAUGGUUUACGUUAUAGGGAUAUUUGGUGGUAGACAGUUAAUGAGGGGGUUCCUAGAAGCAGAAUAGCUGAGAAGCGUGGGAAACUCUGGUCUGAGCUGUCAGUCAAGUGACAGAGGCCUGAUGUGAUCCAGCAUGACUGUACCAACAGUCCCUCUUCUUGGCCUAGCUGAGUCAGUUGGUGGUCUACAGACUCUAACUAAAGGAGAGAGGUUGAGUCCUUUAAGGAAAGAGUAUUCAAUAAUCUCACUAAGUAACUUAAAAUUGUCAUUCUGUCCUUUCCAAAUGGAUAUACAGAUACUUUUGAGGAGAAAUGGAAAUAACCAAAGCUCUCAGGAUUUAUUGGAUGUUGUACCUAAUAGACAGAAUUUCCACAUUUGUGCCUGGACUCAUGUACAGUAGUCCUCCCUUAACUGUGGGGAUAUAUUUCAAAACUUCUAGUAUUGAACCCUAUCUGGCUUUUCCUAUAUUUAAAUAACCAUGAGAAAGUUUAAUUUAUAAAUUAGGCACAGUAAGAGAUUAAUAAUAAUGACUAAUAAAAGUUUAUGCUGAAAUAAAAAUUAUGUGAAUGUGAUUUCUCUCUUUCUC